UACGGGGGGGGCAAGCGUUGUUCGGAAUUACUGGGCGUAAAGGGCUCGUAGGCGGCCAACUAAGUCGGACGUGAAAUCCCCAGGCUCAACCUGGGAACUGCGUCCGAUACUGGAUGGCUUGAAUUCGGGAGAGGGAUGCAGAAUUCCAGGUGUAGCGGUGAAAUGCGUAGAUAUCUGGAGGAACACCGGUGGCGAAGGCGGCAUCCUGGACCGACAUUGACGCUGAGGAGCGAAAGCCAGGGGAGCAAACGGG
rnacentral:rRNA from 1 species